UAUGCGCAAUGAACAUUUUUGGACGUAUUUCUGAGCCCUUGUCUGGCUAUCCAGUCAUUAGCCUUUCCUGAGUCCAGCUUUUAUGAAGAUAGAAGGUUGAAGUCUUUAAAGGAGGAUUGCCACCGGAAUGGCAAAUUCUGCAAAAGAGAGCCUUGGAUCCAGAUUCUCCUUAUGGUGUCAUGAAAGCAGAGAAUAUGACAGGAGAAGGACACCAUUUACUCAUGCUCUGCAGUCGGAGCAAAUAAUAGCAAAAAGCCAUUACCUUUACAAAUGGGUAUAUUACGUAAAACAUGCCAGUAACUUAAAAGUUUUUUCUUUGCAGAUGAAACUGAGAGGCAGAAAUGACUUAUACAAAGCCACACAAGAGAGAAAAAUCACACCAUGACAGUUUGAUUCCAGAACCCAUCCUCUUCACCUCUAUGCCAUAUAAUGUGCAUAUGUACAUAUGCACAUGUACAUACAAGUAUAUAUGUGCACAUUUGUGUGAAUACACAGAAACUUAU